rnacentral:rRNA from 1 species
GCCGAUGGCGACCGGCGCACGGGUGAGUAACACGUAUCCCCCUAGAAGGCUACUCUUGGACAGGCUUCUGAAAGGAAGAUUCCUUCAAGAUGGCAUCAUGAGUUCACAUGUUCACAUGAUUAAAGGUAUUCCGGAAGACGAUGGGGAUGCGUUCCAUUAGAUAGUAGGAGGGGUAACGGCCCACCUAGUCUUCGAUGGAUAGGGGUUCUGAGAGGAAGGUCCCCCACAUUGGAACUGAGACACGGCCCAAACUCCUACGGGAGGCAGCAGUGAGGAAUAUUGGUCAAUGGGCGCAGGCCUGAACCACCCAAGUAGCGUGAAGGAUGACUGCCCUAUGGGUUGUAAACUUCUUUUAUAAAAGAAUAAAGUCGGGUAUGGAUACCCGUUUGCAUGUACUUUAUGAAUAAAGAUCGGCUAACUCCGUGCCAGCACCCGCGGAAAUACAGAAGAUUCGAGCGUUAUCCGGAUUUAUUGGGUUUAAAGGGAGCGUAGAUGGAUGUUUAAGUCAUUUGUGAAAGUUUGCGGCUCAACCGUAAAAUUGCAGUUGAUACUGGAUAUCUUGAGUGCAGUUGAGGCAGGCGGAAUUCGUGGUGUAGCGGUGAAAUGCUUAGAUAUCACAAAAAACUCCGAUUG